rnacentral:rRNA from 1 species
AUUGAACGCUAGCGGGAUGCUUUACACAUGCAAGUCGAACGAGUGGCGGACGGGUGAGUAAUAUAUCGGAACGUGCCCAGUAGCGGGGGAUAACUACUCGAAAGAGGGCUAAUACCGCAUACUAUUGUGGUGGCCGAUAUCGGAUUAGCUAGUUGGGGGGGUAAAGGCUCCCCAAGGCAACGAUCCGUAGCGGGUUUGAGAGGACGACCAGAAACACUGGGACGGAGACACUGCCCAGACUGCUACGGGAGGCAGCAGUUGGGAAUUUUGGACAAUGGGGGAAAACCUGAUCCAGCCAUCCCGCGUGUAUGAUGAAGGCGUUCGGGUUGUAAACCUCUGUCGCUAUCGAACGGGUAGGUGGAGAAGAAGCGCCGGCUAACUACGUGCCAGCAGCCGCGGUAAUAC